GCGGGGCCGGGCAGGAAGCGGGGUUAGUCGCCAUCUUUGAGUGGGGCAGACGUGGGCCGCUUUUGCUCGCGGUCACUUCAUCUUAAGUUGUAUAUAUGUGCAGAGCGCGGCGCGGGUGGUCGCCUCCGCUGCUGCCGCCACCCGCCUGGCCUGCCUUUGACCCCAUGGGUCACAGACAAGGCAGGGUGAUCGCGGCAAGACCCUGAGUGAGACUAGAGGCGUUACCCAGAGGGUGCGAGGUCGAGCACCCUCCCUGUCCCAUCGCAAACCCAAAGAUCCCCGUUCCUGGAGAUUCUGAUUGAGGUCCCAGCCCUACCUGUCCUGAUGCCUGACCAGCAGGAUGCAAGCCCAGGAGGCCAUCCAGGAUACCAGGACUGGGAGAGAAUGUGGGCCCAGUGGUGAUUCCUGCAUAGUCCUAGGAGGUGUCUUGGGCCCAGGCUCUGGAGUUGGAGGCUCAGUUUCAGACAUGCUGUCAGUCAGUUGCCCAGGCUGAAGUGCAGUGGCGAGAUCAUGCAUCACUGCAGACUUGACCUCCCGGGCUCCAGAGAUCGGCCUCCCAAGUAGCUGAGACAACAGCUGCGGCUUUAGGAAGGAAUCUGCGUUUAUGAAGGGGAUGGCACCGCAGAAUCAUUCCCCCGUGGGUGGCAUCGAUUUCGAGGGCCGCCUCAUCCUGGGGGCCAAGCCUCCACUCUUCAAGGUGCCAAGUCAACCUGAAACCCUGGGAGAGACUUGGGUCAUAGCCAAGAUGGCAGGUACCUACAGAGGGUCCCGAAAUACACUUCCCAGAAGUCCAGGCGGCAACUUCCGCUCCAGGGUGCCAAGCCCUGGGCGCUCCCGCAAGGACUGCCCGGAUUCGUCCCCCGCGCUUCCGGUCUCACUGGGGAGCCGGAAUCCCCGAGUCUGCAGCCACCGCCCCCGUCCACACGCUAGCCCUCCCGGUUAAGAGGACCCCGCCCUCACCUCUGCGCUCAGCGGGCCGCUCCGCGCUCCUGAGCACGCGCAGUCUUCGACUUCCCCCUCCCGCUGGACUACGUCUCCCAGGAUGCUCCGCGCACCAGCUCGAGCGCCUCCUCGCCCUUCCCCCACCCUCGCCCCCGUUUCUACACCCUCUCCUCCCUUCCCCUAGCGGUGGUCGCAAUGAUCAGGUCAUACUCCUGGCCGCUUCUUCCCAUGCUCCCCGCCUCGAAUCCGUGCGUCGGCAUGCGCAAGCCUCUCGGGUACAACAGACGGCAGCACCGCCUACCAGAUCGCGCAUGCCCCCCACCACGUUUUCCUCAAUUCUCUACGGGCCUUCCUGAGAUUAGCAGGAUCCUGCACCAAUCACGGCCGUCAUUAUAACUCCAUCGGUGCCCCACCGCGUCUCCAUGGCAACUCCCUACAGGAAAGGGCCUCUGCUACUUCCUAGACCGCAAAAUGGAGAAAGGCUUGGCCCGAUGCUUUCCGGCAGAUGUAGUCAGCAGGCCCUUCGUGU